GACGAACGCUGGCGGCGUGCUUAACACAUGCAAGUCGAACGGAAAGGCCUGCUUUCCCUUGUGGAUUGCGGGUACUCGAGUGGCGAACGGGUGAGUAACACGUGAGUGAUCUGCCCCCAACUUGGUUAUAAGCCUGGGAAACUGGGUCUAAUUCCCGAUAGGACUGCAGGGUGGUGCCUGUGGUGGAAAACGAUUUUCUAGUGGUUGGGGAUGAGCUCGCGGCCUAUCAGCUUGUUGGUGGGGUAAUGGCCUACCAAGGCGGCGACGGGUAGCCGGCCUGAGAGGGUGGACGGCCACAUUGGGACUGAGAUACGGCCCAGACUCCUACGGGAGGCAGCAGUGGGGAAUAUUGCACAAUGGGCGGAAGCCUGAUGCAGCGACGCCGCGUGGGGGAUGACGGCCUUCGGGUUGUAAACUCCUUUCGACCGCGAGGAAGCCACCUGGUUGGAAGGGUGGUGACGGUAGUGGUAGAAGAAGCACCGGCUAACUACGUG
rnacentral:rRNA from 1 species